GUGAACGCUGGCGGCAUGCUUUACACAUGCAAGUCGAACGGCAGCAUGGGUGCUUGCACCUGAUGGCGAGUGGCGAACGGGUGAGUAAUAUAUCGGAACAUGUCCGGAAGUGGGGGAUAACGUAGCGAAAGUUACGCUAAUACCGCAUAUGCCCUGAGGGGGAAAGGAGGGGAUCGUAAGACCUUUCGCUUUCGGAGUGGCCGAUAUCGGAUUAGCUAGUAGGUGAGGUAAAGGCUCACCUAGGCGACGAUCCGUAGCUGGUCUGAGAGGACGACCAGCCACACUGGAACUGAGACACGGUCCAGACUCCUACGGGAGGCAGCAGUGGGGAAUUUUGGACAAUGGGCGAAAGCCUGAUCCAGCCAUACCGCGUGAGUGAAGAAGGCCUUCGGGUUGUAAAGCUCUUUCAGCCGGAAAGAAAACGUAUCCAUUAAUACUGGGUGCGGAUGACGGUACCGGAAGAAGAAGCACCGGCUAACUACGUGCCAGCAGCCGCGGUAAUACGUAGGGUGCGAGCGUUAAUCGGAAUUACUGGGCGUAAAGCGUGCGCAGGCCGUUUUCUAAGACAGAUGUGAAAUCCCCGGGCUUAACCUGGGAACUGCAUUUGUGACUGGAAGACUAGAGUGUAGCAGAGGGGGGUAGAAUUCCACGUGUAGCAGUGAAAUGCGUAGAGAUGUGGAGGAAUACCGAUGGCGAAGGCAGCCCCCUGGGCUAACACUGACGCUCAUGCACGAAAGCGUGGGGAGCAAACAGGAUUAGAUACCCUGGUAGUCCACGCCCUAAACGAUGUCAACUAGGUGUUGGGGAAGGAGACUUCUUUAGUACCGCAGCUAACGCGUGAAGUGACCGC
rnacentral:rRNA from 1 species